AAACGCAGUGCAGAAGAAGAAGAGGCGGAAG
rnacentral:sRNA from 1 species